rnacentral:rRNA from 1 species
AUUGAACGCUGGCGGCAUGCCUUACACAUGCAAGUCGAACGGCAGCACGGGAGCAAUCCUGGUGGCGAGUGGCGAACGGGUGAGUAAUAUAUCGGAACGUGCCCGGUCGUGGGGAUAACGUAGCGAAAGCUACGCUAAUACCGCAUACGAUCUAUGGAUGAAAGCGGGGGAUCGCAAGACCUCGCGCGAUUGGAGCGGCCGAUAUCAGAUUAGGUAGUUGGUGAGGUAAAGGCUCACCAAGCCGACGAUCUGUAGCUGGUCUGAGAGGACGACCAGCCACACUGGGACUGAGACACGGCCCAGACUCCUACGGGAGGCAGCAGUGGGGAAUUUUGGACAAUGGGCGCAAGCCUGAUCCAGCAAUGCCGCGUGCAGGAUGAAGGCCUUCGGUUGUAACGUGCUUUGUUACGGAACGAAACGGUAGAGCUCUAAUACAGUUUGCUAAUGACGGUACCGUAAGAAUAAGACACCGGC